rnacentral:lncRNA from 1 species
UAGGAUUUGAUUUAGGAUUUAGGGUUUGGUUUAGGACUUAUUUAGGAUUUAGGAUUUGAUUAGAGUUUGAUUUAGGAUUUAGAGUUUAGAUUAGGAUUUAGUUUAGGAUUUGGUUAGGAUUUUAUUUAGGAUUUAGGAUUCAAUUAGGGUUUGAUUUAGGAUUUAGGAUUUAGUAAGGGUUUGGUUUAGGGUUUAGGGUUUUGAUAAGGAUUUGAUUUAGAUUUUAGGAUUUGGAUUAGGGUUUGGUUAGAAUUUGAUUUAAGAUUUAGAGUUUGAUUUAGGAUUUGGUUAGGAUUUGGUUUAGGAUUUGGUUGGGAUUUGGUUCAAGGUUGAUUUAGGGUUUGAUUUAGGGUUUAAGAUUUUAUUAGGAUUUAUGAUUCAAUUAUUUUUGGCCUAAAGUUUGAAUGAAGUUCAAUAGAAUUUUAACUAAAAUAAAAUUAUGAUUGAAUUGAGAUGUAUUUGAGUGAUAUUUGUGAUCCUUCUAAUAUUUUUUUAAGAAUUCUUAUUCUUUGUUUGAAAUUUAUGAGGUUUUUUUGAAUUUGAUUAAGCUUGCUUAGCAUUAUUAUGGUCUAAUUAGAAUAUUAUUAGUAUUCUAUUAGAAUUA